rnacentral:lncRNA from 1 species
CUUGAUCUUUGCCCUUCUGUCCAAAUGCAGCGGUCUAAGCCAAACCAGUCUCGCUUUCUCUCUCCUUGCCAUCGUAAUAGUAUGGCUCGCCUUCUCUCUCUUCUUCUGGACCUAUCCCGGUGGACCUGCAUGGGGCAAACACCUCUCUCGCCGGUUAACUAACAAAACCGGAACGGUUAUUCCCGGUCCAAGAGGGUUCCCUUUCGUGGGAAGCAUGUCUCUCAUGUCCAGCACUCUAGCUCACCACCGAAUAGCGGAAGCAGCUGAGAGAUACGGAGCCAAACGCCUCAUGGCUUUCAGCUUAGGCGAGACACGCGUGAUCGUCACGUGCAACCCCGACGUGGCUAAAGAGAUUCUGAAUAGUCCAAUUUUUGCUGACCGGCCGGUUAAGGAAUCAGCUUACUCUCUGAUGUUUAACCGGGCGAUUGGUUUCGCGCCACACGGGGUUUACUGGCGAACGCUGCGAAGGAUCGCUUCGAACCACCUCUUCAGUCCUAAACAAAUCAAACGAGCCGAAACGCAGAGGCGGGGGAUCGCUAGCCACUCUCUCCUUGCCAUCGUAAUAGUAUGGCUCGCCUUCUCUCUCUUCUUCUGGACCUAUCCCGGUGGACCUGCAUGGGGCAAACACCUCUCUCGCCGGUUAACUAACAAAACCGGAACGGUUAUUCCCGGUCCAAGAGGGUUCCCUUUCGUGGGAAGCAUGUCUCUCAUGUCCAGCACUCUAGCUCACCACCGA